AUGAAAUCUUUCAUCUGGCUUCAAACUGCUGAUUGUUCAAUCCAACAAGUGGAAGAGGAGGUUGCUAUGUUUUGCCCGAUGAUAUGCCAAGAAAUUCUUCGAACAGGAAUGGGAUCUUCCAAAAACUAUGCAAUAUCACUUCCACAGCGAGUUACUCCUGCUAUCCUUGGAUUAAUAUUUGAUUACUGUCGGUUCCAUCUUGCACCAGGCCGCUCUAACAAGGAGCGUAAAACUUUUGAUGAGAAGUUUGUACGACUGGAUACAAAAAGGUUGUGCGAGUUGACAUCUGCUGCCGACAGCCUCCAAUUGAAGCCUUUAGUUGAUCUCACCAGCCGUGCACUUGCGCGAAUAAUUGAAGGAAAAAGUCCUGAAGAGAUAAGGGAAAUGUUUAAUUUACCUGAUGACCUUACGGAGGAAGAGAAGUUGGAACCCCUUAGAAACAUAGCUGAUGAUCCACGUAUCAGGCUUCUGAAUCGGUUAUAUGCAAGGAAAAGAAAAGAAUUGAAAGAGAGGCAGAAGCUGAAGAAUAUUGAGAUUGAGGAGGAUCGUGUGGAUGAGCGUUCAGUUGAUGAUCUCUUAUCGUUCAUAAAUGGAGAAGAAGGAGAUUCAAAGGGAGUAAGAACUACUAAAAGUAAGAAGAAAAAUCGAAGAAAAAAGGAUCAAUCUAAGGAUUCUUUGAACAAUUCGAGCACAAGUUAUAAGGAGGUGGAUGGUCACCCUUCUUCUGGCACCAAGGGUGAGCUUAAUGAUAUAUCAAUGUCUUCCCCCAGUAAAACUUCAAAGGUUCAAGGCUCUACAGCUGCUACCUUUUCACCUAAGCUUGAGUUCGAUGAUGGUGAUAUCGAUGAUGAUUUAGAUCCUGCAAUGAAGGAGGAGCUGGACAGGGAGGUGGAGGACUUUGCUCGAAGAUUGAAUUCUGACUGGCCGGAGAGGAUGCAAGAGAUUUUGUCUUUAGGCCAUGAAAGAAGGCUUGUACCCAUAUCCGUCAAUGACAGCCAUUCUGUACAUAGGUUUACAAGUUUGGACCGAGCAUGACAAUCCAAGGAUGGAAGUUUUUUUUUUUUUUUCUUUUUUUGCAGAAUUUUCAGCAGCUUUACUGGCUAGAUCCAUUACCCGCGUCAAGUCUGCUGCUGUCAGUUUCUAAUACAGCUGCCAUUCUUUUUGGUGUCAACUGUAUCUGUAUUGGCGAAAGGCGGCCCCCCUCUUUUUUGUUUUUUUUUUCCCCCCCCGCGUCAACCCAGGAGAAUUCAUGAUGAGGAAAACCAGACUAGGGGCAGUAUCUAUUUGCCACUGAACUAAGUCAGCCUGAGCUCGUGAAAUGAUUUGUUUUUUUAGUUUCCAUCAUUAGGUUUAAAAGUUGAAUGUUACCAGCAUGGAUUGAAAUCCAAUGCGAGGAGGCUAGGAGAUGACUAUUAAUUAUAGUUGGUCUCAACUAUUAAUGUAAAGUAUGCAGGUACCAUGUCUA